UUUUUUUUUUUUUUAAUUCUUUUAAGGUUCCUGAAAUUCAUGGAUUUGUGUGCUAUUUGGCAUCAAUUUGGGAGAAAAAGCAGCCAUUAUUUUUUCAAAUAUAUUUUCUCCCUCUUCCUCUUUCUGACAUCCACCAUUAUGUGCAUGUUAGAUUACAUCCUCCUGAAAGUCCAGGAGCCUCUUUCAUGUUCUUGUGUUUUGAAAGAUUUUGUUUUCCAAUUGCAUUGAAACAUCCAGUUUCAAUUGCAUCCAGUCUACCAGACCAGAUGGCUAUAGCAGUGGAAUUAACAAAUCCAUUGAGUGGAUAAGAUGUGGCAAAGCUUAUCCUUGGCAGCGUUCCAACUGGGACUCACUGCACUAGAAAACAGAUCUGUGAAGCCAUCUAAGGUGAGACUUUCCUCAGCUUCCGCUCUUCCACGCUUCAAUUCUGAACUAGACAUUUUUCCCGAACUCUCGUAUGGCCCUUUCAUUUCUCAGCUCUGUAACCCAUCUUAUUUCUGGAAGGUCUUGCAGGGUCUCCAGAUAAACCCAUACGUUGGACGUGUUACAGUUUCCGUACAAGUGCUGGGGCAGAAGGCUAUGACUCGGAGCAGGGCAAGGCAAUUCCUACGCUGGUAUAAAGUUGUUUCCAAUGAUCUCUUUGGUCCUUUUAAACACAGAGAUGCUUUGGUUAUUCUGUGAAUUGGAUGGUGUUCUAACAUAACACAUGCUAAAAACAUGUGUUUUUGGUGGUCAGGAAGGAGAGCGCCUAGCAUGUUGACUUGUCAGGUAGAUGUACAGGUGUGAGUAGUUUUAGUUUGAAGUAUAUAUUCUGACCUAGUCAGAUGGAAAUUUGGGUAUGGUUAAAACAGAAUACCUUCCUCUUGGCAUUUUGCUGUCUUGUGGAGUCUUAUCUAAGAGAGUCCAUUUCUCUCUUCUGCUUCUACAUCCUAGGAUGGUAUUUUUCAGUUCCAUCUCUUCCCUCCUCCUUCCCUCUAAAUCUCCCUGCCUACUCUCCUGUCCUUUACCCUUAAACAUGCUGUCAAGAUGACAUGAUUAAAAUUAUCCCAAAUAAGGACAUUACCAGCCACACGUGACUAUUUAAACUUACAUAAAUUUAAUAAAGAAACAGUUUUGUUCUGGGCCCCCAGAAGCCCUUCUUGUAUUUUAGUGAUUAUUUUGUCACUCUCUCCAGAGCAAUUUAUGGAUAAAAACAUCCCCCCGAAUUUUACACAUUCAUACGAUUGUACAAAAGAUGGUCUGCCUUUAUUGAUAUUAAUGAAAGGUCACCAAUUUAAACUGAGCUUUCCGCCCAAAGCCAUCCAAAUGGUUAAAAAAAAAAAAGACAUGUGUAUCUAUAUCCAUGGCUGGUAGAUAAGGUACUGGACUUAGAAACCAGCAAAAGAGCAGUCUUAAUUUUACUUUUUAAUGACUGUGUUACCUUGGAUAUAAAAACUUAGUCUCGGAGUUCCCGUCGUGGCUCAGUGGUUAACGAAUCCAGACUAGGAACCAUGAGGUUGCGGGUUCGAUUCCUGGCCUUGCUCAGUGGGUUAAGGGUCUGGCGUUGCCAUGAGCUGUGGUGUGGGUUGCAAAUGCCACUCAGAUCCCACGUUGCUGUGGCUCUGGUGUAGGCCAGCAGCUACAGCUCCAACUGGACCCCUAGCCUGGGAAUCUCCAUGUGCCACAGGUGCAGCCAUAGAAAAGACAAAAAGACAAAAAAUAAAAUUAAAAAAUAAAAAAAAAAACUCAGUCUCCACUGCAUUGCAGUAUUUUUGAAUGCAAAUGUGAUAUACCAUUCCUUUUGUCCUCUGUCUGCAGUGAACAUGAAGAGAGAUGUUUGGGAGAGGACCUAUCCAGUGCUGGUUCAGAGUAGGCAUCAUACUUGCAAAUAUGGCAAAGUUGCAAGAUGUAAUACCCAGCAGUCUCCUAACAGCAUAGUUGUCUUUUGCAAGGUUCACUCUGUCCCUGUGCUACUCCCUACAACACCCCACACUCGCAAACAUACUCCACAGCACACUGAGCAAAAGGAGCCCAGACGUCAGCGCUGGCUUGGAGAUACAGGUGUGUAGAUUCACACUUGAACAUCAUUCAUUCUCACAAUGCAGUUGCUUAGACUUCAGCUGGUGUAGUAGCUCCCUUUUGCUAUUAUAUUGCCCUCCCUCAGCAGUCCUUGCGUAGCGAACUUAACCCUUUCUUUGACCGCUUCAUUACAUUGACCUGUUCUUUGGACUUCCAAGACCUAGCCCCAUGUACUCACCAGCUCACAGAGUUGUCUGGCAAAUGAGUGGUUGCUGAGAGGAGUCUCACAGUUGUAGCUGAUUAUAAUCUCUUUUAUGACAUCUGGAGACAGCUGUUUUUCCACUGGGGCUCUCUGAUCCUCAUACAAGCACAUCAAACCUCCCUCUUGUAGCAUUAAGAGUAGGAUGAGGAAUUAAAAUCCCUAUAGCUCUUCAGACGUUAUUACUGUUCACAUUUUAUCUGAGCACUAACUCAUUUCACUGCCC
rnacentral:lncRNA from 1 species